GACGAACGCUGGCGGCGUGCCUAAUACAUGCAAGUCGAACGCACUCUCGUUUAGAUUGAAGGAGUUUGCUCCUGAUUGAUAAACAUUUGAGUGAGUGGCGGACGGGUGAGUAACACGUGGGUAACCUGCCCUAAAGUGGGGGAUAACAUUUGGAAACAGAUGCUAAUACCGCAUAAAACCUAACACCGCAUGGUGUAGGGUUGAAAGAUGGUUUCGGCUAUCACUUUAGGAUGGACCCGCGUUGCAUUAGUUAGUUGGUGAGGUAAAGGCUCACCAAGACCGUGAUGCAUAGCCGACCUGAGAGGGUAAUCGGCCACACUGGGACUGAGACACGGCCCAGACUCCUACGGGAGGCAGCAGUAGGGAAUCUUCCACAAUGGACGAAAGUCUGAUGGAGCAACGCCGCGUGAGUGAAGAAGGUUUUCGGAUCGUAAAACUCUGUUGUUGGAGAAGAAUGUAUCUGAUAGUAACUGAUCAGGUAGUGACGGUAUCCAACCAGAAAGCCACGGCUAACUACGUG
rnacentral:rRNA from 1 species